GGCCCUACGGGGCGCAGCAGUCGCGAAAACUUUGCAAUACACGAAAGUGUGACAGGGCUAUCCCGAGUGCCAUCCGCUGAGGAAGGCUUUUACCCAGUCUAGAAAGCUGGGGGAAUAAGGAGAGGGCAAGUCUGGUGUCAGCCGCCGCGGUAAUACCAGCUCUCCGAGUGGUGUGGAUGUUUAUUGGGCCUAAAGCAUCCGUAGCUGGCUAAGUUAGUCCCCUGUUAAAUCCAACGAAUUAAUCGUUGGAUCGCGGGGGAUACUGCUUGGCUAGGGGACGAGAGAGGCAGACGGUAUUUCCGGGGUAGGGGUGAAAUCCUAUAAUCCCGGGAAGACCACCAGUGGCGAAGGCUGUCUGCUAGAACGCGCCCGACGGUGAGGGAUGAGAGCUGGGGGAGCGAACCGGAUUAGAUACCCGGGUAGUCCCAGCUGUAAACGAUGCAGGCUAGGUGUUUGGACGGCCACGUGCCGUUCUAGUGCCGCAGGGAAGCUGUUAAGCCUGCCGCCUGGGGAGUACGAUCGCAAGAUUGAAACUUAAAGGAAUUGGCGGGGGAGCACCACAAGGGGUGAAGCUUGCGGUUUAAUUGGAGUCAACGCCGGAAAUCUCAC
rnacentral:rRNA from 1 species